rnacentral:lncRNA from 1 species
ACCUUUGCUGCUGGAGCAGCUGGCUUAGCCUUCGAUGGCGUCGGUGCUUUCUUUCCCGGAGUUGUCCUUGUAGACGUCCUGGCAGCCUUAGCAGGUCUUGCAGCCGGCUUCGACUUCGGCUUCACUGCCGGUUUGGCCUUAGGCUUAGGUUUUGGCUUAGCAGCGACAGCUUUGGGCGCAGCAGGGGCUUUUCGAGGAACCGCCUUUGGCUUCACAGCAGCCUUCGGCUUGGCAGGAGCUGCUUUCGGCUUGACAGGAGCUGCUUUCGACUUGGCAGCAGCCUUCGGUUUGGUGGUAGCCUUAGGCUUCGGCUUAGCUGCAGCUUUCGGCUUCGCUGGUGCUUUCGCAGGCUUUGUUGGCUUCGGUUUUGCUGCGGCGGGCUUCUUAGCUGCCUUCGAUGGGGCCGAUCGAGAACUCGGAAGUUUGUACGAGUUCUUCACCUUCACGAGCUUUUCAGAAGCCACGAGCUUCUUCAAAUGCACGAGCAAAAGCUUCCUGAAAUUCGAAGGCAACUUCUUGUGCUUCUCUUCAAUGAACUUGGUUAUCGCAUACUGACUGGAACCAGUCCUCUCCUUCAAAGCUACAAUUGCUUCAGUAAUCAUCUACACAGGACACAACAACCCAAUCAGAUCAGAUCAAAAUCGUAUCAAAUCCAUAUAAAAUAAGCUCCAUAAGGAAACAUUAGUACCUCAAGGAAAGGAGGGUGAGUUGAAGGAGAUUUCGGCUUUUUAGCUGCCGGCUUCUUGGCUUUUGGCUCUUUAGGAGCUUUGGCUUUCUUGGCCUUCGAUUUUCUACCAGUCUGGUUCUCCACCGGCGGCUCCGUCACCGGCGGAUCCACAACCACUUCGACGGCAGAAACCGCAAUUUCAGCAGAUGCCAUGGAUGCAGAAACUCAGAAUUAGGGUUUCGAGAGAGAGAGAAAGAUGAGCAGAGGCUGUGUCGGGCUCUUGAUUUUGGCGAAGAAGUGACGGUUGGAUGGCGGUUUAAAUACUAGCAAUUGGAGAAAUGCUGAGCGCUGAUUGGCUAAAAGUAAUGUCACACGGAUCCAGGCCCUUUGAAAUUUUGAAUUUCAGCCUUUGGAUUUGAGACUAUCCACGGUUGACAAUGAGCGCUUUAGUGGGGGUCGGAUAGAGCUAUUACCAACCUAAUGGAAUGUUGGUUUUGUGAGGGUUUCGGGUGUGUUUUUCACUUCAAUUGUGUUGGCUAUAAUUUGAGCUAUAUUUGAUGGAUCUCAACAAGGUUUGGACGAUUUUGAAGGUUAGGAGUUAAGCUUUCUAACAAAUAUUUACAUGUGUGUUUAGCUUAAGCGAAUAGAAAGAUUUUGGCUUUCGAAGUUAUGUCACUCUGAUCUAGGUUUUUUUGGAACUUUGUUAAGGUUUCGAUGAAUUUAAGGAGAAUUCUUUCUAACAAAAUUAAUUUUUUUUAUCAUAUAUGAUUCUUCCGUUGAAAAGGAGCCUAUAGCUUUGAGAAUCGUAAAAAUCUGAUAAAAAAUUGACAGUUAAAUCUUAACCGAAACAACACUAAAGUUGAACAUGUCAGAAUAGGCAAUAUAAAUUUGUGAUGACAAACAUGGAAUAAGCUUGGGCUUUUUUUCUUUUUUGUUUUUUAUGAGAAGGUAAUUGAUGCUUUUUCUGUCAUUUUUACAGCUAGGCAUCUUCCUCCUCAUCAUAAGGGUUUACUUUGCGGUCAAUGUCGUUGAAAACGUAAAAUUAAAUAACGACAAUGAUACACACUUGUAUAUUUCACCAAAAAAGAAAAUAAUUGCUAUUUGUGUAUGAGAAUAUUGGAUUUGUACCACUUUUAAGCCAUCUUAACAAUAGGUGAUCAUUAAUUCCAAGUUUGAACGUAUAUGAAACCGAGAUUUCAUUUAUAUCAAUUGAAUAGUCAAAACUAAUUUUGUAAUAGUCUAAUCUUUUAAACUUGUUCCUAUGAACUAGCAAACUACUUAAGGAAAAAAUAAUUUGAUUUCACAAAAUUAUGAAUUGUAAAUCUUGACACUACAGCAAAUUGCAUAAAUAAACAUAUAAGAUGUUAAUAAUAUCAAUAGUAACAUCUAAAUAUAAAUUAUGGAUAUGAUGAAGUCAACAAUACAAUGAGGAUCAUGUACACAUCAUUAUAAGCUUAUAAGACCGAAGAUGAGAUAUCAUAUUAGACUUUAAGAAUCCAAGUUGGAUGAAGCUAUAUGGCAAAGAUUCUAGCAACCUAAUUAUGAAUACUAAUGCCAUGAAAUUAAAAAGAACUUCCAAAAGCAUGGUUAUAACCCUAUUUUAAGAGAUUGGGUAUAAAAAAAAAUUGAAUAUGAAGACUUUAGAUUGAGAACUCUUAAUUGCCUCAAUAAAUAAGCAAUAAAGGGAUUUUGAUUAUGUGAUAUUCAUAGACACAACCACAUAGUUAUCAACCCACAAAUAGAUAAGCUUAGGAAUGACAAUCCCCUUGGCAUUUAAGAAUGAAAAUCAUGUUGGAUUGUACCAUUUUCACUCAAAAUGACAACAACCUAAUGAAUGGUACUAAUAUCAUGAGAUCAAAAGAAAUCUUUAUAAUUCCUUAAUUUUCAAAAAAAUGUAUAUUCAAGUGAAUUUAUAUUUUAGAAGAGCAAUUAUAAUCAAAUCUUUGAGGGAUUCAAUAACAAUGAAAACAAGGAGGAAGUAUUCAAAUUCAAAAAAUCUAUAAUUGACAACUCAAUAGAGAAAGAGCUAGGAUAAGAGAUUUUGAUUACAUGAUUUGUGUAGCAAAUAUCAUUUCUAAUAAAUAGUGGUUCACAUAUCCCAAUGCUUUAAAUGCAAAUAGACCGAUAUGAAUCCUAGUACACAUGAUUAUUAGUUUGAGCAAUCUAUAUUCUAGAUUUAAAUGCAAACAUUCAAUUUGUUCAUAUCUAGUUCUAUAUAUCUAUUCGAUACCACCUAAAACAUGUUCUUAAAUUGAACGGUUGACCUUGAAUCUCUUGUAUCAAAUACCAUGGAUUCUCAUAUUAAUCAAGUUAAAGUGGCUUAAUUUUGAAUUAAAAAUCAUAAGAAAUCCUUAAACUAUUUCAAGUUAAACAAUAUGAGUGAUUUAAACCAUAAUUUAAUGUAAACAUAUUCAUGCGAGGAGUCUAAUUUAAUUAAGAGUAAUUUUGAUCGAUAUUACUUUUGGUCCUUAUCAUUUUCGACCUUUGGGCUAGUCUUGUAAGUAAUGAAACUAAUGUCUAUUUUAACUUCAAAUUCUUAAGAAGGGAAAUUUGAAAUGUCUAGAAAAGAUAUUAGGAAGGAGUUUUAUAAUGAUGUGCGAAGAGAACAUUUUCUUUGUUUUAAGGGUAUGCUAGUGGGCCUAAGGGGUACCUAGUAAUUUUAACACUAAUUUGGGAAUAGGGUUGACUAGGGUGGUAUAAAACCCAUCCUUACUUGCUCUAUUCCGAAUUUGGGUUUUAAAAGAAAUCUCAAACCUACUUACUUUGAUCAUAUCUUACACAAAUUUGUUCUAAUGAGGGUGGGUAGGGGCAAGUCAUCGAAAAUAACUGCCCCAUUGUUAUUCCUUUUUGCAACCCUUUCAAGGUUGAUUCUUCUAGUAAAGUUCAUUAUGAAAUUCAUCAUGAUUUCUUUUCUUAUAUAUCGUUAUUUAUUUUGAAUGAAUAGUCUUUGUAUUAAAGAAAAUUAGCGGCUACUUACCAUUGCCAUAUAAGAUUAAAAGAUGUUUGGAAACAUUUGUAAGAGAGUAUUGAUUGAAAGAUCUUGAAUUAUGAAACAAAAAAAAUAUUAAAUUUUUUUUUUUCAAAUGAUUAAGGAAAUUUUGAAUCAUUAGGUAUUUUUUAAAUUAAGACUUAGAUUCAUCUAAUGUAAUUAUAGUGCAAAUGGGACAAAAAAAUACUUUAUUUUGUAUUUAAUAAAUUUGAUGGAUUUAAUGUUAGCUAUUAUUCAUUUGAUAGUUUAUCUCCUCUUAUGACAAUUUAAGAGUUGUUUGUCUUUAGUUGUGCUAACCUUAUUUAUUAAAUGGCAUAUGGACUACAAAGCACUAUGAGUAAGAUAAUCAACUCUCAUUUAUUUUACUUUUCAUAUUUUAGUAAUUAUUUUUUUAUUUCUUCAUGCUUUUAUACGUCCAAAGAUAUCAUAUUACACAUUAUGAGUUUUUCUUUCGUCUCACAUUCUACCUUGUCUUUAACCUUAUACAAAGGGCUCUCAUCAAAGAUAGGUUUGGAAGAAGAAAGGUUGUUGUUUGUUAAAGAUGACAUUCAUAGAAAAAAAAAAAAAAAAAAACAAAACCUUUGAGAAUUAGGAUGAUAACACUUAGAUCUUUUUUUUUUUUUUUUUGGAGAAUAGUCAAUAAAUAUACAUUUAAGAGCUUAGGGAUCUAGCUUAAUAUUAUGAUGAGCUUAAAUAUGAACAAAAACCAUACACCUAAAUAUAAUAUGAAAAAAAACCAUGCACUUAAAUAUUUUUAGAGCAAAUCAACUAAAAUCAUUAAGUUGCGGAUAGAGUUGAGUAUGAAGACUUAUGGGGUCUUUGAAAUCAAGCUCUUUGGAAGGUAGUCUAUUUAUAAGAUGAGUAGCAAUUAAAACGAUCAUUCUCUCUAAUAUGUCUUUGAAACAUCUAUUUGAAAAAUCUAGGCUCUAGUUACCUUUAACAAAUAUCUAUUUUCCUGUUUAGCUACCCCAUUUUGUUGUAGUGUAUCAAUACAAUAGGAUUGGUGAAUAAUAUUUUUUUUUUCAAAGUAUGGUGGUAGACAUUGAUUGAAACACUUUAUCCCAUUAUUCACUAUUUGGCUUUUGGUAUCAAAUUGGGUUUUGAUCAUUUUAUGCAAAAUAGAGAAAAUAAUGAUAACAUUAAAUUUAUGUUUCUUAAGAUAUACCUAUAUGACCCUUGUGCAAUCAUUAAUAAAAAACACAAAUCAUUUUGCCCUAGAAAUAAUUUGAAUUUAAGUAGGCCCCCGAACAUCAAUGUGGAUGAAAUUAAAUGGAACAUAACUUUUAUCAUUAAAAGGAAUACAAAGGUGUUUAUAAAAUUCACAUACAUCACAAUGAAAAUUUUGAAUAUAUAAUUUUUCACACAGUAGAAAUUUAUCCUUUCUAACAAAGAAAAAGAUGGAUGACCAAGACAAAAAAAAGAUAAAUAAACUUGAGUCGUAUUGGUAUAAUGUUCUUCUAAAAGGUAGGAUAGACGUAUAGAAUCAAACUAGUCACUCUUAACUUCAAGAAAGUAUUACCCUUCUUUCUUACUAGCAUGCCUAAUCAUUUUCCCUAUAAGAUGAUAUUGAAAAACACAUUUAAAAGAUGUAAUUAUCAUUGAGAAAUUAAGGUUUCUAGUAAUAUGAUGAAUUGGCAACAAAUUUAUAGAUAACUUGGGAACAUGUAGAAUAUUUUUCAAGGUUAGAGAUGGUGAAAUGGAAACAUUUCCUUGGCUAGCUAUACCAAUAAAGUUCCAUAAGCAAUCCUUAUUUUUUUUUUUUUGGCUUAUAGGACAAGGACUAUAAAUGGAGAAGGACUUAUAUGAAUUGGUCAUAUGAUCUAAAGUCCAUGAGUCUAUGAUGUAAGGGCUUGUAAAUAGAUUGUAGAGGUAGCCAGGGAUUGGGAAUGCUUACUUUUUUUUAAUCAAAAUAACUAGAACCUCUUUGUUAUUCAAGUUGUCAAAUAAAAUUAUUUAGCUAUCAACCUCUUUCUUGUAGAAAAUUUCUAUUGCAAUAGUAUCUUGUAGCUAUUUCACUUUUGUAUUAACGACAUAACUCUAGGACUUGUAACCUAAAUUUCCCUCCCUAUUGCCAUUAGUUUUUCCUAAGAAAUUUUAAGGAUUGCCUUAAAGAUUUCAAUAGUUUUCCUUGGUACAAUGAUUCUUGCGACAAUAGUUGCACCAAAGUAAGGCUUUUUCAUUUGGGUUUCAUCUCUUUUCUCUUCUUAAAAUAGUAAAAUCUUCAUUCAAUGAAGGCAAUAGAUCUCUCCUAAGAAUCUAGAUUCUAACUUGAUCAAAAUUCACUAUUCCAACCAACCAAAAAAAUAAAAAAUAAAAAAUAAAAAAUCAAAGACUUUCUUUCUUAAUAAAUUAUAACAUUGUAAUACUUAGAUAUAGAUCAAGUACUUUGUUCAUCAUCAUGGAUUUUUGUCUUGAAUUCAUAAAUCUAAGUAGCAGCCCAUAACUUAGAGUAGGUGUGAUGAAUUACAUCGCAAAUCUUCUUUGUCGUGGAGAGAAACAUGCAAGUACAACUUAUUUUUGAUUGAAUGGAGCUCUAUAACGAAUACAUAAUCUAAGAAUCUUCUUUAUCUCAAGAGACAAAUUUCGAAUCAUCCUUACCAAUCUUAGGAACAAGAAGAUGCUUUAGCUUCUUCUUUUCUUUAAUGUGCAUUUUCAUUAAUCGGGACCAUUGCAAAUAAUUUCCAUUCAUUAAGUUUGAAGGAAGUUGAUACAUUCUGGUAGUCACUAGGAGUUAUGUUCUAGGUUGUUGAUAAAUUAUUACUAAUUUCAGACAUGUUUAGAAAAAUAGAGAAGAAAACUAUCCUAGUCUUGAAGCCUAUUAGUAUGAAAAAAAAGAGUUGAAUUACCAGUAAUUAAGGUUGAUCACAACGAAUAAUAACUAAAAGGUUGGUCUAGGAUGAAUGAAAUUCAUGUUUAGUAAUGAAGAUUAAGUAACUAGGCUAUGACUAACUAGUGAAGGCUUUAUGGUGGGAAAAUGGAUAUUGGCAAAGUUAGUUUUCCUAUUUUAAUAACAUGUUGAUUAUUUGGGGUUUUAAGAAUCUCUCACUUGUAUUUUUUUCAAUAGAAUUACCCUAAAUAUAUAUAGAUUAUAAGAGGUUAGAAAUACAAAAAAGAAAAAAACUAAUUUCUAGAUUAGGAUAUCUCUAUUUAAAAAAAAAAUACAGAAAGUUAGUAAACUAAACUAAUAAGGAAAAGAGCUUAAUUCACAAGUAUUUUCUAAUUGAAACAUCUUCAUAUAAGUUGUGCAUAUUUUCCAAUCGAUACUGUUAGGACAUUGAGUCUUGUUUGUAUGUUGACAAUUUUAUUCCAAUUAAUGUUUGGCCUUAGAAGUCUUUUUAAAUAGUGGCUUACUCUCUAUUGAAGAUCAAGGGUUGUUGUUCAUCUAAUUGGGAAGUCACAAGUAUGUCUAACAUGAUUGUCUUGUGGCAAGUAGACUCCUAACAGGUAUAAAGAAGAAUGGUACAUUUGUUAUAAAAAUUGAAAAUUGAUAUUUUAUAGAAGUAGGGGACACUUAGCGGGCAGCAACACUAAAGCGCUGGGACUACUCAAGCACUUAGCAUUGCUCAAGUGCCUGAGACCCUUAAGCACUUAGCAUCGCUUAAGUGCCCGAGACACUCAAGCAAGAGUUAAGUGUGCUCAAGUGCUCAUGAUUUUUCUAUUGAGAUUUGGAAUAUAUAUUUGAGAUUUCAUGCAAAUCUUAUUUGGAAACCUUAUGAUAUUGAACCUUUCAACAUAUUUGCCUAUAAAUACCUUAUUAUGACCCUUCUAAGGUAAGAUAACUUAAUAUUUUGGAGAGAGUUUCAUUGAGGAGGAAGCCUAAUGAGCCACACUAUUCUCGAUUUCUCAUUCAAAGGAUUCAAACAUUGAAUAUUGGGUUGAAGACCUUCAUCUCUUCAGCGAGGCUAAAGUGUUUUCACUAUAGCAAUAAGAGGUUGCUAUGUUGUGGAUGUGGAUCAAAUUGUAGGUAUUGUAGAGUAAGUCUUUAAGGUAAAACGACUAGAUAAAUCUGUGUAACUUGAUCUUAAAUAGUGGAUUUAGAUUAACAAUUUUAGAUCCAUGAUAUUUUAUUUCUACCGUUACUGUGGGGGUUUUCCACAUAAAAAUCCUAAUGCCUCAUCUUAUUUCUUUAUUAUCUUGCUUACAUUGCCUAUUAAUGAAAGAAUUGACUAUCCUUAACUAAUCACAAAGAUAAAUUGAGUAUAAUAUAUAAAUAUUUAUUUAAAAUUUUUAAGUUACAUCCAUUCACCCUCCUUUCUGAGUGUUGCCUUACUAGGCUUUGGUUUUUCAAUCGGUAUUAGAGCAAGAUAAAAAUUAAAAUUUUAUUAAUCUUAUAGGAUAAAAUCUAAUUUUUAUUGAUCUUAUUAGGAUAAAAAUUGAAUUUUUAUUGAUCUUGUAAGUCCAAUAUGGAACAAUAAGAAACUAGGGCUCCUUUAAAUUGUCCACCUUACUUUGAUGGGAGUAACUAUCCCCACUAGAAAGCUCGGAUGAAAUUUUUUCUUAUAAUGCAAGGUGAACGGGUAUGAAAUUCAGUAGAAUAUGGAUGAGGACCACCAUUGAUUCUUUAUGUCUAUAUAAGAUCAAUUGGAGAAUUAAAACCUAAAUAAGAUUAAGACAAAGCCAAUAAUGAAAGGAGUGAAAUCAAUGUUAGGGAUUUAUUUAAUAUCUUUAAUGGAGUUUGUCCAAAUGAGUUUUGCAGGAUAGCAAAUUGUACUUGUGCUAAGGAAACAUGGGAUAUACUUCAAGUCACUCAUGAAGGUAUGUCUAUUGUUAAUGUUUCUAAAUUGCAAAUGCUUACUCCUAAGUUUGAGAAUGUUAAGAUGUAUGAAAAUAAGAUUUUUUCCCUUUUUUUUUAUUCUGAAUUAAGUAAUAUUGUUAAUUCAUCAUUUAACCUUAGAAAACCUAUUCUAGAUUCAAAGGUAGUAAGAAAAAUUUUGAGAUCUCUCCUAAGGAGAUUUAGACUUAAAAUUACUACCUUAAAGGAGAGCAAGGACAUCGAUUCGAUAAGAAUUGAUGAACUUGUUAGCUUUACACAAACAUAUGAGAUGACUUUACCUAAUUCUCAAAAGCCUAAACAUCUUGCAUUUAAGACUUUUGAGAAUAAGAAAGAAGAUACUGAAAUACCAUAUAAUAUAAUUAGGGAUGAAUUGGAUCAUAUGGCUAAAAGAAUAAAAAUGGUCAUGAAAUUCAAUAGGAAAUUUUACAAAAAUGAAGAAUCUGGAGAAGGAAAAAUACCUGAGCAAUCAUCUAAAGAAAAAGAUAAAGGUUCUUUCAAGGGUAAGAAAAUAGGAUUCUUUAAUUGUGGUAGUCUGAGACAUUUUGUUUCUAAUUGUCUUAGUCCCAAAGAUAUUAAAAAGUUUAUGCAAGCUACAUGGAGUGACACAAAUUUUGAAGAAAUUGCUUCCACAACUUCUGAAGAUGCAAAAUAUGAUCAUAAUGACUUUUUAGCUUUUGUUACAUCUAUAGAAUUUGUGCAUGAUAAUGAAUGUGAUAGUAAUAAUGAUGAUGAAUUCACUAAUGAUUGAAAAACUGCUUUUCUAAAUAACCUUGUUGUUAAGUAUGAAAAACUAAUUAAGAAUUACUUAAAAGACUAUGAUAUUCUUUAAGCUCAUAAAACUAAGAUUGAUGUGCUAAAAGAAGAGAUGACUAAUCUUCUUGAAAAAAAAAACAAAAAAAAAAAAGAUUUCUUGAGUCUAAACAUCAUUCUUUUCUUGGGAGAAAUAAUUCUUUUACUCAAAAGAUGGAAAGUAAUAAGUCUUCUUCAUUCGUGAACGAGAUCUUUCACUCUGGAACUAAAGUGCUUAAUGAAAUACUUGAUAAAUGCAAAACCCAUGGUGACAAAAGAGGUUUGGGGCACAUUAAUAAAGAUGAAACUCUUUCUAACAGAGAAACAAUUUUUGUAAAAAGAAAAAAGAAAAGAAAAAAAGAAACCCCUACCAAGUAGUAUCUUUCAACACUCCAUCACUAUGCACACAUUGCAAGAAAAUAUGACACACUCAUUAUAGUUGCUAUACUAAGUUCUUAGAAAGAUUUGAAUCUCAAAUGAGUAGGCUAAUGAAUGACUUUUGAAAAAUCGAAAGUCCAAUAAGGAACACCUAGAGAAGGGGUGAAUGAGUGAUUUCAAAAUUUUAAAUAAAGAUUUACAUGUUAUACCCAAUUCUUUUAUCCCAAAAGAUAUUAGGGAUACCCUAAAUAAUUAAAUGGGUUAUACCUAAAAUCUAUAGGUAUAUAAAAAUAUGAUUUUUCACUUUUUAGGGAUGACUUGCGAGAUGUUAGGGCUAAUCAAUUCUAUCGAUUAUAGUCAAUUCAAACAAAAUAUUAAAUAUAAAAGAUAUAGACAAUGAGACAUAAGAUUUUUUCGUGGAAAACCCCCACACCAACUAUGGAGAUAAAAAACCACAAGGUCUAAGACCUAUUAAUUUAACUCCACUAUAUGAAAUCAAGUUAUACAGAUUUACCUGACUGCUUUACUUUAAAGACUUACUCUCCAGUACCUACAAUUUGAUUCACAUCUAUGACACAACAUCCCUCGAUUGCUCUAGUGGAUCACUAUAGCCUCACCAAAGGGAUGGAUGUUUUCAAACUAAGAUUCAAAGAUCUAAUCCUUGAAUAAGAAAUCAGGAAUGGUGUGGCCUUUUUAGGCUUGCUCUUUAAGAGACCCUCUAUAAGGAAUAUAAGGUCUCUUAACGGUCUAUUUCCAAUCUCUAACGAUCUCUUACUCUUAAGAGAAUAGAAAGGUAUGUAUAAAAAAAAGCCCAAAAAGUUUCAGUUUUGGAAGAGUUCUAAACCAUAUUUGUGUGAAAGAUCUCGAUAGAAUCUACAUGACUGCUCGAGCCAACUCACUCAUCACUUGAGUACUUUUGACGCUUGAGCAGUAUGGCUCGCUUGAGUGGUCUUGGGCACUUGAGCACUCCAGGUCGCUUGAACGAUUCAACCAUGUUUCAAAAGUUAAUUUUAAAACCUUUUAAGUUAAAAACAAAACUAAUCCUCUUAAUAGCUCAACGUAGCCUAAUUUACCACAAACCAAACCUCUUUAGAUGUACCUAUGACUUUCCUAUUGGAUAAACAACAACUCUUGAUUUUCAAUGGAGAACAAGUCAUUAUUAAAAAAAACUUCUAUGGCCAAACAUUAAAAGGAACAAAAUUUCCAACAUAUAAACAAGAUUCUAUGUCACAAUUUUAAUUACCUUAAAAAUAACAUCUUGAAUAAUGGAAAAUGGAAUAAACCUAAUCAAAAGCCUAGAAAUCAACAAAGCUCUUUUAAGUCACCUCUUAGAAUUAAACAAGUUUAGAUGAGAAAAUAUAGGGCUAAAUAUUAGGUUGUCAUCACAACACUUAAAGUUAGAUCUUCUAGUGAGUGGUACUUUGAUAGUGGCUACUCCAGACACAUGAUAGGAGAUAAAUCAUUCUUCACUUUUUUUGAGGACUAUAAUGAUGGUAUAGUUAUCCUUUGGGGAUGAGAGCUUAGCUUGUGUGAAAGACGAGGAAAGUAUACCUAUCCUUGGUUGUCUUAAAUUAGACGGAGUUCUCUAUGUAGAUGGACUCAAGGUAAGCCUCCUAAGUAUUAGUAAGAUAUUUGACAAUGAACAUACGGUAAAUUUUUGCCAAGACUUAUGCAAGGUAAUAAACAAAGAAGGAAAAAUCAUAAUUACAGGACAUAGGACAGUUGACAACUGUUAUGCAAUGAAUCUAAAUUCCAAAACACCUCGUGUGUAGUAGGCCAAAGAGCUUUGGCAUAGAAGGCUAGGUCACAUAAAUUAUAGGGAUCUUAUUCACUUAGUGAAUAACAAAAAAGUUAUAGGUAUCCCUAAACUAAGUGGUGAACCUAAACCCAUUUGUGGUGAGUGCAUGAAAGGUAAGCAAACACAAAGUUCACACAAAAAGGUUAAGGAAAUUAAGACCACAAGACCACUAGACCUUUAGACCUUUAGACCUCUUCAUAUGGAUCUUAUAGGUCGCAUAUGUACUGAAAGUAGAAGUGGUAAGAGAUAUGUCCUAGUCGUAGAUGAUUUUUCAAGAUACUCUUUUGUGAGUUUUUUUAGAGAGAAGUCAGAAACCAAAGAGCACUUGAAGUCCCUGUUCACCAAAAGACAAGUGGAGAUAAGCCAUCCAAUUGUAAGGAUUAGGAGUGAUAGGGGAAGAGAGUUUGAUAAUGUGGAUGUUGACUUCUUUUGUGAGUCAAAAAGUAUUAAACAUGAUUUUUCAACCCCUAGAACUUCUCAAUAGAAUGAAGUGGCUAAAAGGAAAAAUAAAGUGUUAUAAGAAAUGGCUAAAGUGAUGAUUUAUAUGCAUGAUACCUCUAUGAAACUUUGGCCUAAAGUUAUAAAUACAACAUGUUACAUUGCUAAUAGCUAUUUUCUUAGGCUUGGAACAAACAAGACAUCUUAUGAAUUAUGGACUAGGAGAAAACCUAACCUUAAGUAUUUUAGGACUUUUAGUUGUGAGUGCUACAUACUUAGGGAUGGGGAGAACCUAGGGAAAUUUGAUGCAAAAUCUGAUAUAGGUAUCUUCCUAAGCUAUUUUACUAAGAGUAAAGCCUAUAGGAUAUAGAAUCAAAAUUCAUAGAUUAUCUAGGAGUCCUCUAAUAUGGUUAUAAAUAACACUGGGUAUGAUAAGGAUAUAAUAGAAAAUCAAAUUUCAACCUAGGAAUUAGAUAGGGACAAUCAUGAAAAUAUAGAAAAAACAAAAGAUAACCCAAAUGAUAUCCCUAAAAGUAAUGUUGACCCUAACAAGGAUGUAAAUGUACCUCAAGAAGACACAUUUAAAGAAAUAAGGAAUAAACAUAAAUCCAAAGUACCAAAGAACCACCCUAUCAAAAAUAUUAUAGGUAACAUGAAUGAAUGUGUAGUUAUUAAGAGACAAUAAAGAUUUAAUGAGAUAGGUCUUGGACUACCACACUACAAGAAGAGUUAAAUCAAUUCAUUAGGAAUGAUGUAUGAUAUUUAGUCCCUAUGCCUAAAGAUAAACAUGUCAUAAGCACUAAAUGAAUCUUAAAAAAUAAACAAGAUGAAAAUGGGGCAUUGUGAGAAACAAAGCAUGAUUAGUAGCUCAAGAAUACUCAUAGAUAGAGAGGAUUGAUUAUGAAUAAACAUUUGCACCUGUAACUAGGUUAUAAUCAAUCAGGAUAUUUUUGUCCAUAGCAUUCUCUUUGAGGAUGAAACAUUAUCAAAUGGGUGUCAAGAGUGCUUUCUUGAAUGAGAUUCUUAGUGAAGAGGUUCACGUUGAGUAACCUAAGGGUUUCGAGGAUCUAAAAUUCCCCAAUCAUGUAUAUAGGUUAAAGAAAGCCCUCUAUGGAUUAAACUAAGCUCCUAGAGCUUGGUAUGAGAAGUUCAUUACUUACCUUUUUUGAGAAAAAGUUUGAAAGAGAGGGAGUCGAGAGAACCUUGUUUAUACAUAGGUCUAAGGAUAAGUUAUUAAUGGCCUAGAUUUAUGUUGAUGAUAUUAUUUUUAGAGCCACCUCUAGUAACCUUGACCUUACUUUUAUCGAGGAAAUGAAGACUAAAUUUGAGAUGAGGAUGGUUGAUGGACUAUAUUUAUUCUUAGGUUAGCAGAUUAGACAACUUAAAGACGAAAUCCUUAUUUAAAACUCCAAAUAUGCUAGGGAGUUAGUUAGGAAGUUUGCUUUAGAAUCUACUCAACACUCUAGGACACCUAUGAGCAAUACUACUAAGCUUAGUAAGGAUACCUUUAGAAAUGAUGUUGAGUAAAAGCUCCAUAGGAGUAUGAUUAGAAGCUUGUUAUAUCUUACUACGAGUUGUUAUGACAUAUCCUUUAGUGUUGAAGCUUGUGCUAGGUACCAAGGAAACCCUAAAGAGUUGGACUUAAUUUUUGUUAACAAAAUUAUUAGGCAUAUUAAUGGGACUCUAGACUAUGGUUUGUGGUAUCAUUUUGAUUAUUCCCUUGUUAUUGUUGGUUAUUCCGAUAUUGACUAGGCUAGAAAUGUUGAGGAUAGAAAAAACACAUUUGGUGUUUUUAUUUUUAUUUUUAUUUUUAUUGUUGAUUAUCUUAUGGCUUGGCUUAGUAAGAAACAAAACUUGAUAUCUUUAUCUACCGUCGAAGCUAAAUACGUUGCUAUACACAACUCUUGUGGAUGAAACAAAUGCUAAAAGACUAUGGGAUUGAGCAAGGGACCAUGAAUGUACAUUGUGACAACUCUAAUGUUAUUAAUAUAUCAAAGAAUCUUGUUCUUCAUUCAUGUAUUAAACACAUUGAAAUUUGUCAUCAUUUUAUUAGGGAUCUUGUUGAAGAAAAGGUUGUUUCUCUAGAGUUUGUCUGAUUGCGUGCCUAGCUGGUGUACCUUGAGUUUGGUCUCAAACAGGAGUAAUCAACAAAAUUUAUAACCUAUACCACCAUGCACUAGGAUAGCCUUAGCUAAUAUAGCAUAGUGGCUCUAGGAUCGUUCAUUGGAAAGGGUUUUCAACUUACAACUGAUAACAAUUCAAAGUUGAAUUGAUGUUUUUUCAUUUCAAGGUUAGCUUUAAGAGAAAACAUAAACUUUGGUUGAAAAAGGAUUUGUUUUAAACUAACUAAAAAGAAAGUAAUGGGAAUUACUUAUGAAGAAAAACGUUCUUUGGAGUUUUAGGAUCACUAGGAUCAGGCUCCUCAUGCAAAAACAGAGCUUCGGUCACUUGAAUCUUUUCCUCGCAUUAGAGAAUUAACAUAUAGUUAAUUCUCUAACCGGUGUUGUACAUAUGCUUCCUAUUUAUGGAUUCAAACACUAAAUUCCUCUCACUAAUGCAUCUUGCAAUGGCUCGUGCCUCUCAUCUGGCAUUCACCAUUCAAGAUGAUCAUUAACCUUGGACUUCCCUUCUCAAGCUCGAAAGAGAUAACUAAUGGAUGUCUCCUUAGAGUCCAAAAGCUUACCAAGUGUUGGCAAUUCUAGAAAAUCCUACCUUCAAGUCACCUCCCAAAAGCUCGCAAGAGGUAAACUAGUGCAUCUCAAUGAACGGAGAUCACUUGCCUUACCAAGUGUUGGCCCAGGUGAAUUAAAGGCGUUUUAAGUUAACUAAAAAUAUAGAAACCAUUAAUGGGUCACACUUUCUCUUCAUUAACAGCUGAAACAACAAAACUCUCAAUUCUUGCACUCGGCACCUUACCCAGCUACCUUAGCUCCAAGAGACAAAAAGUCUAGCCACUCAUUCUCCAAGGAAUCAUCCUUAGAGCUUGUUUGGCUAGUAAGAAAAAUACAAUCAAAUUGAGUAGGUAAGGCAGAACAAAGCUCUGUAUUUUACUUCCUUCAAAACUAUACAAAAAGAUGUCUCUGAGAACAAGCUCCCAAGAUGUCUGUGCAAUGAAAAUUACAAAACAAUAUAUAUGAGGUUAUUCACCCUUUGUUCUUACUUAAUAACCAAGGAAUGAGUGAUUACAAGGAGAAAAUGGGGAUUUAAACAUCAAAUAUCUGAAGAAAAAAAAAUCUAAAAAUGUCGGUCGCAAAUAUCUGGAAGCACUCAGGAGGAUUUCGCAGGCAUGCAAGAUGGCUGCGAAAUUUCGCAAGCUGAAGGUCACCAUUUCGCAGCCAAAGGCUGAUUUCGCAGCCAAAGGCUGAUUUUGCAACCAUCACCUUGUGAUUUCGCAGCCUGCGAAAUUGGCCUUCAACUUGGUGUGAUCGGCUUCCAAUGGCUCUAACUUCUUCAUUUCAACUCUGAUUCGUGCACCGUUUGAAGCAUUGGAUUGCUGACUUCUUAAGCUUCGAAACAACAUAUAGUAUACAUGAAAUGAGCUCCAGGAAGUGCUUCAAAAGUGUCCAAUAGUUUCUGUCCUCUUGAAUUCUUCAUGUUAGAUUUCUCUCUUUGCUUUCCCUCCUUGCAUUCAUGAUUUACUUAUGGAAAAGGACUUUAAAGCUUCAAAGCUUAGGUUCUUCAUGUUAAUGAGCUUCCAAUUGAUUUGCCAUGGAUUCCAUAGAACUCUCCUUAAUCUUGGAUUGCUUUGGUGAUCAAAAUACUAUCAAAAACACCAAAACUUACACAAUUUGAUUAGAAAUGAUUGCAAAGGUACUUAAUAUGCUAAUUGAGUUAAAAGGUAAUAACUACUACUCAAAAAUGUUUAAAAGAGUUAAUUACAAACUACAAAAUAACACAUUUUGAGUAGUAAUCAUUGUCCUCACUGAAUAUCAAUUGACAAAUAUUUUUACAAAAACCUUGGAUUCUCUUAAGUUUGAAUUUCUUAGGAAAUCCCUAGGCAUAUGCCUAAUCAAUUGAUCAUCUAGAGUUAUAUGCCUAAAAAGGUUUGUUCUUAUUGUUCAUUUUUUGUUUAUUCCUUUGGCUUUCUAUUACCUUUUAGGCAUAUGAUUUUUGUUAAUUUACUUGAUAUAUUAGCAUGCUUUAUAAUAUUUUGAGUUUGUGAACUAGAAAAAUAUACUAUGUCUAGAAGUCUUGAUGUGGAUUGAUUCUUAGAUAUUUGUUAAUCACUAUUGAUGUACAUAACUCUUGAAAAUUAAAUUUCUUUGUAUAGUGAAAUUUCAACCUUAAUUACAUCUUGUGAUUGAUCAAGAAGGAGACUUCUUAAGUUUGAGUCAUAAAGUAGACUUUGAUAUCUUUGAAAAGAUUUUCUUUCAUGCUCAAAUCUUAUUAUCCACAUGUCUUAUUUGACUAAUAUCAUUAUAAUUGUUUCCUGAGGUGAGUCAACGAAUACUUGAAUCUUUAGUUAAACAUAACUCAUACACUUUCCAAGAUUCAUGCUCUUAAAUAUAAACUACUUACUUACAACAUUUUGAAACACACCUAAAGUGGAUACAAAGGCAAUCAUGAACAAAAAUAAAAUGAAAAAUCAAAAAGAGAUCAUGAUGUACAAUGCCUCCACUUUCAAUAAUAAUAAAAAAACAUGAUAUCAAAUUAAGGGGGAGUCAAGUUGUGCCAUUUGUAGAUCAAUGAGGUCUUGUUAAAUAGAAAUUCAACAAUCUUAGAACAAAUGGAUUGGAUGUGUACUUUAAUUUGACUAAAGACAUGACUGGAUCUUUUCUAAGUAAUCAAUUUUGAAAUAUAGAACUAGACAGUAAGUUUUAUUCCGUUGAAAAUCAAUACUUAUGUUUCUAUGUUGAUCAUUUUAUACACUGAUAGUUGUGGAUUAGGUUUCUAAACCGAAAUUGAGAUUUACUCUGAUAUUUGGACUUGAAACUUCACUCUUGAUGAAUUGAUGUAUACUAUCUAGGAAAUUCACUUGAUAUAUUACUGAUCAAUCUAAUGUUAAGAGUUUAACAACAUUAUGAUUCUACUCCAAGUUGUUUUCUUGCUAUCAUUUGAAUUUUUUUUUUUUUUUUUGUAAAUUAGUUCAAUUUCAAGUUUUUUGGCAAGUGUAUCUAUUUUUCUUGGUGCUGAUUUUCUGCAUAAAGCACUCAAGCACUAUCACCAGUGCUCAAGUGCUCCAACCGCUCAAGUGUUAUAAGUUGUAUCCAACGCCACUUCAAGUGGUCUGACUACUUAAGUGCUAUAAGUCGUUUCCAACAUUGUUUCCAGUGCUUAUGACGCUCAAGCGCUAAUCUACAUUGAACGCUCUUAUAGAGUAUAAAAUACCUUUCCAACGCGUCAUAUUCAAUUUCCAUCCAUCCUAGCUAGUUCGAGUGCUCUGGGUUUUCACAUCUUCAUCAUUUGAGGCUAGUUUGCUUCGUUUUUUGUGUUUUCGUCUACAUAGUAUUAUUUAGUACACAUUUUAGAUUUUUUCUAGCGAUUUAGUUUUCUUCCGCCUUUUUCUUGGUUUUUAUGUCUUUUUGCUUUUCAUUUAUUUUUUAUGGCUAGUCAUAGGUGCCAGUGUGAGGUGAUCCCUCAUAGGUCACUUAUGCUUAUUCAGGGCAUCGCUAUCGAGGGUUCUUUUAACCUAUGAGGCCUUUUAAUUGAGUGUUUCCAUUAUGUGGAGGCUUAUGAUUGUUUUUAUGUCUUUUUUUUGUGAUCGCCGCAUUGAGGUCAAGUGUCCUAUCAACCUCCAUGAAUUCCUGGAAACUCUUUUCCUUACUAUCAUCCAUGAGUGAAGGUGGGAGACUUUAUUUUCUCUUCAGGGAACCUAUUACCCUUACCAAGUACAGAAUGCAAACAUGUACUCAGUCUUUGUCGGUAUCACAUUUAGAUUGGCCAUGUAUGACUAGUCUUUUCUUGUCUUCUCCAGAUCCAUCAGGUGUGUACUUAGUUGUCUCGACUUGAUGCUCACAUUCCUUUUUUUUCUUAGGAACUACAGGCUGGGAGCUUGAUGCCAUUUUGAUAUCUCUUUAUGGUGCUUCUCGUCAUUUUCCCUCAUAUAUUUCCAUUUCUGGCUUCACCAAGCCAAUAUGGCUCCUCACUAUCUUCUUCACUUAUACAUUUUAUCUCUCUACUCACUAUACCCAUAUUUGUUGCUCAUCUGCUAGGCUCAUACAUGCUAUUCUUACUAGCCAGUAGUUCGACACAAGGUAGGUAAUUUUGGAUAUUAUGACCCCUUACCGUGAUUUUUCUUACUAAUUCGGUUACCUUCCAUUCAUCCUUCCUAUUUCUCAAAUCUUAGAGGAUGUCGGGUUCAAGAUUGAUCAUGCACUAGGGAGUUUAGGCUUCUUAUUCCUUUUUGGAUGGGAGCUUUUGGGCCAAGCAUUAUAGCCAUGCGUAUGGUCCUCAGGAUGCUGCACUAAAUUAGUAGAUAGCUUAAGAGGAUCUCAUAGAGAAGGAUGAGAUCCGAUUGGUGGAGAAGGAUACUCUAUUUCCAGAGAUGAACUUUCUAGAGCAUACUUUGAAGACUCGCUUUAGGCAUGAUUGAGCUAGUUCAUCCUGAGUUUCU